GACGUAGGGUGCGAGCGUUGUCCGGAUUUAUUGGGCGUAAAGAGCUCGUAGGCGGCUCGUCGCGUCGACCGUGAAAACCCGCAGCUUAACUGCGGGCUUGCGGUUGAUACGGGCGGGCUAGAGUUCGGUAGGGGAGACUGGAAUUCCUGGUGUAGCGGUGGAAAUGCGCAGAUAUCAGGAGGAACACCGGUGGCGAAGGCGGGUCUGCUGGGCCGAUACUGACGCUGAGGAGCGAAAGCGUGGGGAGCGAACAGG
rnacentral:rRNA from 1 species